UACGUAGGGGGCAAGCGUUGUCCGGAUUUAUUGGGCGUAAAGCGCGCGUAGGCGGCCCAGUAAGUCCGUUGUAAAAGUCAAAGGCUCAACCUUUGAAAGCCGAUGGAUACUGCUGGGCUAGAGUCCGGAAGAGGAGAGUGGAAUUCCUGGUGUAGCGGUGAAAUGCGCAGAUAUCAGGAAGAACACCCGUGGCGAAGGCGGCUCUCUGGGACGGUACUGACGCUGAGACGCGAAAGCGUGGGGAGCGAACAGG
rnacentral:rRNA from 1 species